CUAAAAUCCAUUGGAUCCAUCGGAUCCAUUUUUUUUUUAAUAACAAGGUUCCUGGCGGUGUGGACAAGGUUCCUGCCGGUGAGGACAAGGUUCCUGCCGGUGAGGACAAGGUUUCUGCCGGUGAGGACAAGGUUCCUGGUGGUGAGGACAAGGUUCCUUCCUGUGAGGACAAGGUUCCUGCCGGUGAGGACAAGGUUCCUGCCGGUGAGGACAAGGUUCCUGGCGGUGAGGACAAGGUUCCUGGCGGUGAG
rnacentral:lncRNA from 1 species